UCUCACGUUAGUAAAUAACCCUGAUACAAUAUCUCACGUGAGACAUCCCCCAGGGUGGCUUUUUGAGUGAAUAAGUAAAUUAUUAUUCCUUAUACUUCAUUAUGCUUUGUGUUAUUGUUUUAUUCAUAUUAUUCUGAAAAGCGGAACUGGUAAAAACUGACACCAUAAGCUGAGAUAGCUAACACUAUGCGGUUAGAAAGUUCAGCUGCUGUGGCUUUAACCCC